rnacentral:rRNA from 1 species
GAGUUUGAUUCUGGCUCAGGAUGAACGCUGGCGGCGUGCUUAACACAUGCAAGUCGAACGGACGAAUCUUAUCGGAGUUUUUCGGAACAAAGAAAAGAUAAGUUAGUGGCGGACGGGUGCGUAACGUGUGGGUAAUCUGCCUUUGUCAUGGGAAUAACUGUUCGAAAGAACAGCUAAUACCCAAUAACGUAUGUAAUAGGCAUCUAUUAGAUAUCAAAGAGAAAUCGGACAAAGAUGAGCCCGCAUCUGAUUAGCUAGUUGGUAGAGUAACAGCCUACCAAGGCAACGAUCAGUAGCCGACCUGAGAGGGUGAACGGCCACAUUGGAACUGAGACACGGUCCAAACUCCUACGGGAGGCAGCAGUGGGGAAUAUUGCACAAUGGGGGGAACCCUGAUGCAGCAACGCCGCGUGAGUGAAGAAGGCUUUCGAGUCGUAAAACUCUGUUGUAAGGGAAGACAAUGACAGUACCUAAAAGAAGCCCC